rnacentral:tRNA from 1 species
GACUGGAUAGCCUAGUGGUUUAGGCAUCACAUCCAAGUUGUGUCCUGGUUAAGGGUCCUUGGUUUGAAUCCAAGUCUAGUCA